rnacentral:rRNA from 1 species
GUCUAUUUGGAGAAGUAAAUAGUCUGAUCUGCCCACUGAUAAUGAAUAUUAAAGGGCCGCGGUAUUACUGACCGUGCAAAGGUAGCAUAAUCAUUAGGCCUUUAAUUGGGGUCUAGAAUGAAUGAUUGGACAAAAAAAGAGCUGUCUCUAUAUUAGUUAUAGAAUUUAACUUUUAAGUGAAAAGGCUUAAAUAUUUCAAAGGGACGAUAAGACCCUAUAAAGCUUUACAUAUAUUAAAGUUUAAUUUAAUUUAUAAAAUAAAAGUUUAUUUUUAUAUUUAUGUUAUAUUGGGGCGAUAGAUAUAUAAGUAAGUAUAGCUGUUUUUAAAACAUUCGGGAAUAGGUGGGAUAGUUAAAAGAUCCUUUAUUUUAAGAUUUAAGACUAAGUUACUUUAGGGAUAACAGCGUUAUUUUUUUUGAGAGUCCUUAUCGAGAAAAAAGUUUGCGACCUCGAUGUUGAAUUAAAAUUUCUUUACGGCGCAGUUGUUGUAUAAGAAGGUCUGUUCGACCUUUAAAUUUUU